UCUGACAAUUGGUAGUAAUUCUAGAGCUUCACAACAUUUUUGUUUAAAUUGAAAUGCCAUCAAUGAAUUUGCUGUGAAAUAUCUCAAAUUAAUAUUUAAGGAUAAAUGUUUGCAUUCGGUCUGUUGUACAGUCGGUGUACCAUGUGGCGUGAUAGGGCUCCUUCUGCUCAUUGGUGUGAUCGUCUGGGUGUAUUUCUGCCAGAAGAAAAAGCGGAAUGAAAUACCUCCUCCUGACCGUGGAAGUGGUGAAAAUGAGAAUGAGCAAGUUAACACACUUGAAAGUGUGCAUGUUCCCAGUCUGGACAGUGAUUUGAGCAACGGGGGAACGCAGCCGAACGGAGACACAAGGGCCCUUGACGUUAACGGAGCCUCUAAUCAUCGAGCCGUGAACGGCUUGACGGAUGAUCCAGGAGGAAUGGAUGGCAACCAAGGAGAAGACAUUGUUGUGAUCGAGGAGGCGCACAGUGGAUGUGCUCUUGGGGAACCUGGUCCUGAAGAUCAUGAGAAUGAAGGACAACCGCUGCUGUCGACUCAGGGAGCUGCCAUCCAAGAUUCUGACAUGAGAGGUGAAGCCGUAGCUUUGGUGUACAAGCCCGACUUUGACAAACCAGGCCUGAAUGUGCUCUACAGCACCACAGGACUCACUGAUGUGGAAUCAUGUGGAACAACUGAUGAUUAUUAGAAUAACAAAGAAUAUACUAUUGUAUACGACAUGAAGCGUUCUCACAGUCAGGGUAUGUGGUACAUUUACUAGCCUUUGGGAUCAAGUCCAACAAUUUAGUUUAAAUGAUAAUUUUCAACAUCACCAUGAUGCUCUUCUCUCGUGAUGAGCACUAGUCUUUUUUCACAAUGCUAGAAUAUAUUUUUCUUUACAAGCCCUAUGUGCCAAGUUGUAUACAAUUACAACAUCUUUAAAUCAUUCCGUUGAAGUUUUUCUUCACAGAAAGUUUGCCUUUUCAUUGAUACAUGAUCAGUCAAUCAGAAAAUAUCUUAAUUUGCGUCAUUACAUAUAAAUUAACUUUAGUUAUUACAACAUAAAUACAUGGGUGUUUUGUUACUGAUAAUAUUAAGUGCAUGGCUUGACCAAAGGAUGGGCGGACCAUAUCAGAAAACGUACCACAUACACAGCUGUCAGACUCGGAACAAUAUACAAUAUAACAGUUAUAAUAUGUAACAUGUAACAUGAAUACAUAUUUAUAAACUGAACCGACGCAUAUUAUAUAAAAUAUUCUUUAUUAUAUUAUACCUCAUUAAAAUGAUAUUGCAUGACAUGAAUGGAGUACAUAUUACAGUAUAAUUAUAAUUUAAAUAUGAAUAAGAAUAAAUAUGAUGAGUGCAUUGUCAUGAGUUUUAAAUAAAUUGUUUACUCCACCCUGGAUUUCACUGCCUGAUCUUUUUUUACUUGGUUCCUAAACUAUUAAAGGCAACCCUGCACCUGGAGUAUCACCUUCAUACCACAAGGGGGCAGUAAAUAGUCAUGGUUCUCCACCACUGAGGUGCAAGGCAACAUAAUUACACUUCUUAUUACUUUUUGUUGAAUGAUGCAAACGCAAUUAAUGCAGAUUUAUUCCAGAUGGCAAUAGCUUCACGAUUUAUAAUUAUACCUACACCUACGAAAUAUAUAUUUUAAAUGCUGUAUUUCUAUGACCAACCACAAUGGGUGGAGCUACAAAUGCUUUUGUUUAAAUAAAUCAAGGCCCC
ensembl:lncRNA